CCUAUCGUGAGGCAGCAGUGAGGAAUAUUGGACAAUGGGCGCAAGCCUGAUCCAGCCAUGCCGCGUGCAGGAUGACGGUCCUAUGGAUUGUAAACUGCUUUUGUACAGGAAGAAACACUGGUUCGUGAACCAGCUUGACGGUACUGUAAGAAUAAGGAUCGGCUAACUCCGUGCCAGCAGCCGCGGUAAU
rnacentral:rRNA from 1 species